rnacentral:tRNA from 1 species
GGAAGGGUGGCAGAGUGGUUUAUUGCGACGGCCUUAAAAUCCGUUAAUCCUUCGGGAUUCAGGGGUUCGAAUCCCCUUCCUUGAA